GAUCCUGGCUUAGGACGAACGCUGGCGGCGUGCUUAACACAUGCAAGUCGAACGGAACACCCUUGACAGAGGUUUCGGCCAAUGAAGAGGAAUGUUUAGUGGCGGACUGGUGAGUAACGCGUGAGGAACCUGCCUUUCAGAGGGGGACAACAGUUGGAAACGACUGCUAAUACCGCAUGAAGCAGCGAGGGGACAUCCCCUUGCUGUCAAAGAUUUAUCGCUGAAAGAUGGCCUCGCGUCUGAUUAGCUAGUUGGUGGGGUAACGGCCCACCAAGGCGACGAUCAGUAGCCGGACUGAGAGGUUGACCGGCCACAUUGGGACUGAGAUACGGCCCAGACUCCUACGGGAGGCAGCAGUGGGGAAUAUUGGGCAAUGGACGCAAAGUCUGACCCAGCAACGCCGCGUGAAGGAAGAAGGCUUUCGGGUUGUAAACUUCUUUUAACAGGGAAGAGAAGAAGACGGUACCUGUUGAAUAAGCCACGGCUAACUACGUGCCAGCAGCCGC
rnacentral:rRNA from 1 species